rnacentral:rRNA from 1 species
UACAGAGGGGGCUAGCGUUGUUCGGAAUUACUGGGCGUAAAGGGCGCGUAGGUGGCCUGUUAAGUCGAACGUGAAAUCCCCGGGCUCAACCCGGGAACUGCGUCCGAGACUGGCAGGCUCGAAUCCGGGAGAGGGAUGUGGAAUUCCAGGUGUAGCGGUGAAAUGCGCAGAUAUCAGGAAGAACACCAAUGGCGAAAGCAGCUCUCUGGGACGGUACUGACGCUGAGACGCGAAAGCGUGGGGAGCGAACAGG